AAACGAAGGAAAACCCAUAAGGCUUGGAAAACCCAAAUAUCUUAAAUCGAAUGUGUCCCAAGAAGGAAAACCCUAACGCGCGUUGCCACCAUUGUCAAACCCGAAAACAACGAUUUGUGCUCUGCUCCGGCGAUGAUCUGCACCAGCGACUGCUCCGACGACGAUCUGCUCCAGCGACGAUUUUCUUGGCAUUCUCCUCCGACGAGAUUGUGUGCUGGGAACUGAAAGGAUCUCUCCUGCGACCUCCAGCGACGAUCUCCUCUGGAAAUGUUCUCCUCUGGCGGCGCGUUCUCCUCCUUCAGCGAGCUUCUAUGAUUUGGCUUCGAUAUGAAGAUUUGUCGCCACUCAUCUCAUCGCCAUCAUUCAUCUCUGCGCCAUCGUAAGCAACACCGUUGUCGCUAUCUUCUUCGAUCUGGUUUUCAAUCUGGCUCAUCUCCUCGCCGUGGCAAGCAACACCGCUGUUGCUACCUUCAGCAAGCUUCCACAAUUUGGUUUUGCCAUCUCUAUCACUUCUAAUAGGAGAACACUAAAACAAAGCAUCCUUAAUUGCUUUAUGAGGCCAAGCUUUACAACAUUCUCCAAGGAGGAAGUAUGUUUUUUUUUUUUCCUUUUUUUGGAAAUAUUAAGCUAUUUUCUGAGUGAAGAAAAACAAAAGAAUUGACUUUUGACUUUUGAGAUUUUAUUUUCUUAAUAUGUAGGUGGCAUUCCUAGCAUAAGAUGGUCUGGUGUAGAUAGGGAGGAUAAUGUUCUCGUGAUGGAUUUGCUUGGGCCUAGUCUUGAGGAUCCCUUUGUGUAUUGUGGAAGGAAGUUCUCAUUGAAGACAGUAUUGAUGUUGGCUGAUCAAAUGAUGACUAGAAUAGAAUAUGUGCAUUUCAAAGGUUUUCUACAUAGAGAUAUAAAGCCUGACAACUUCCUCAUGGGACUUGGUCGGAAAGCAAACCAGGUUUACAUAAUUGAUUUUGGGCUUGCAAAACGAUAUCGGGACUCUACAACUAAUCGCCACAUCCCUUACAGGGAGAACAAAAACUUAACGGGGACUGCAUGCUAUGCAAGUUGCAAUACACAUCUUGGGAUUGCUCAUCUCAGCUCCUGGAAUCUCUUCCACUUCCAAAUGAGCUUAAGGAACAAAAUAGAAGUUUCACAUGAAUCAAGAAGGCGAGCUGCUUCAUUACCCAUGUUGCUGUGUCAUGGAAUAUGUGAUGAUGUAGUUCCAUACAAAUACGGAGAGAAAUCAGCCCAAUGCUUAUGUUCAUCAGGAUUUCGAUAUGUUGCAUUCAAAAGCUAUGAUGGAUAAGUUGAUUUUAUAGCAAAAUGAGACACAACACAACUUUGAGUUUUAAGUUGAUUUCAAUUGAUUGAUUUUUAAGACGUCUUGUAAAUCAAGGAUAAUGAAGUUGGAGUGUUGGAGCAACAAAGAUGUUGGAGCAAGUUCUUGGGAUGGAACUCACAAGAGACCAAGAAAUUAAGGCAGACUUGUUUUAAAGCUAAUUACAAAAGGAGGAAACUUUUGGCCUCCAAAUUUUAUUCAUCAUCACUUAGUUAAGCUCCUUGUCUUGUAUAUUCAUAUUCUAAGUAGUAAAAACAACACUUAUUAGAUGGUUUAAAUACAUUAUUAGAUAUUAAGAUAGUUUAGGAAACUGGAUGGUAGAUUUGACUGAUUAGUGCUUAUUGCAAUGCUUGUAUUUUGGUAAGUUUAGGAAGACAAAUUUUUGUAUAGGAGUUAUUACUUUUGAUUUUUAA